rnacentral:miRNA from 1 species
UUACCUGAACAUGUGAGGGCACUGGAAUUUUCAAAGCAGCAUUUCAAGUGUGCCUGUGUAUCUCUUCCCACAGUGGUG